CCAGGAAGUGCUUUGGCGAGCAUUUCUAACUGUUAGAGUAGAGUGACAGAACUGCGAUUUCUGAUAGUACAGAGACAGACUGGUGACAGUCUUCACCAUGGUUUGCUGUGCUGCAUGGGGAUGCUCCAAUCGCUCAGAGAAAGGUGUGCGAAUGUAUGGCUUCCCCACUGACAUGGAGAGGAGAAAAAAAUGGUUGGCUCAAGUCAGCAGGAGCAAUCUAAAUAUAAAUAAAAAUUACAACAACAAAAAAAUGUGUGAGGUAAUUAUACAUUUAUUUGCACUUUUUCACAUGGAAAUACCCCAAUGGGAAUUUUUUUUACUAGAAAUAAGGACCAAGCAAAGCCUUGCAAAACCCAGGGAGCUAAAUCUCAUGGUAAGGGUGCAGUCACAUUGCAGGGAGUCAUCAGUGUUACCUAUAACUGUGCCUUUAACCAUCAUGCGAUAUGUACAGUAUGUGGGUAGACAAAGUUGUGUGUGGAAACUAAACUCAAAUCACUCUGCAGGCACAUUUUGAGGCAAACCAAUUUGUCAUGACAAAAAAAUUCAAGAGUAGGCUGAGACCAGAUGCUAUUCCCACCAUCUUUGUGCAUCGUCCUGUGGUCAAAAAGAGGAGGGCCCCUGCACCACGAUGCACCCCUAGACCUGUAAACAUACAGCACAUCGCUGCUGAUCACAGCUAUAGUAUUACAGUUUCAAAGGUUGAGGAAAAAAAGGAUGAGGACACUCAGAGAACCCAGCCAACACUAAUCCUCCACCUACCAGCACCCAGCCAACUCCUCCUUUCCAUUGAACUGCUUUACAAUAUGAU